rnacentral:sRNA from 1 species
UAAACCUACUCAUUACCAUCUUGGUUGUC